UGAAGGUGGAGAAAAGAAUAUAUAGGUCGAGUUCUGAGAUUCAGUUGCAAUUGAAGGGUGUUGGUUUAAAUUCACUUGGCUUGCUGAACUGUUUUCCAGGUGUGAAUGCAUAGGCUUAAUAGGGCUGUAAGGGAUGAGACUGAAGCACGGUUUGGCCAGGAUUUGAAGCAUGAUUUUCCCCGGGUCUGCAUUGAUAUUCCAUGGGCAGGGUCGUAGCAGGGACCGGUUUUGGUGCUGAUGGCAGAAGACAUAACAGAAACAGAAGCCCGGGAUGAAGCAGAACUAAAGUCGAGACUUCUGCCUGAGCUAUAAGUGACAUUAUUGCAAGCUAAUGAUGAUAGUCCUCUUCUAGAUUAGAUGAGAUGACUACAUGUUUUUCCUUCUUUUAUUAUAUUCGAUCGAACCUUGAUCUGUUGUGUAAGACUUGUGUAAUGACAAUUGAAUCUUUCUGGACUUUUGGAUAAUUUGUAGAUGGGUUUUGAAAUACAUAAUGUUUGGUUUGUUCACAAAUGGAAGGUGGUGGUUAACAAGAAGAAUUGGAGAAAAAUAAAGAUGAGUCAGAAAGUUGAAGAUCAUGAAGUUUGAGUUUUAGAAAUGAUAGUUUAGUGAAUUAUUGAUAAAGAGUGACAGACCCUUGUAACUUGGAUAAAUAUGAAUGAUAUUUGUAUUCGAUGGAAGCGAACAAUGUAAUGGUCUUGAAUUAUAAUGGAUGCCUUUGGUACCUUGAACAAAUUUUGAA